CCUACGGGGCGCUGCAGUGGGGAAUAUUGCACAAUGGGGGGAACCCUGAUGCAGCGACGCCGCGUGGGUGAAGGAGCACCUCGGUGCGUAAAGCCCUAUCGGCAGGGAAGAAAGGCGGGCGGGGCCCGUCUGGACGGUACCUGACUAAGAAGCCCCGGCUAACUACGUGCCAGCAGCCGCGGUAAUACGUAGGGGGCAAGCGUUAUCCGGAUUCACUGGGGGUAAAGGGAGCGUAGACGGCGACGCAAGUCUGGAGUGAAAGCCCGGGGCCCAACCCCGGGACUGCUCUGGAAACUGCGGCGCUGGAGUACGGGAGGGGCAGGCGGAAUUCCUGGUGUAGCGGUGAAAUGCGUAGAUAUCAGGAGGAACACCGGCGGCGAAGGCGGCCUGCUGGACCGUGACUGACGUUGAGGCUCGAGAGCGUGGGGAGCAAACAGGAUUAGAUACCCCAGUAGUC
rnacentral:rRNA from 1 species